GACGAACGCUGGCGGCGUGCUUAACACAUGCAAGUCGAACGGAAAGGCCUCUUUCGGGGGGUACUCGAGUGGCGAACGGGUGAGUAACACGUGAGUAACCUGCCCUUGACUUUGGGAUAACUUCAGGAAACUGGGGCUAAUACCAGAUAGGAGCUCCCGCUGCAUGGUGGGGGUUGGAAAGUUUCGGCGGUUGGGGAUGGACUCGCGGCUUAUCAGCUUGUUGGUGGGGUAGUGGCUUACCAAGGCUUUGACGGGUAGCCGGCCUGAGAGGGUGACCGGCCACAUUGGGACUGAGAUACGGCCCAGACUCCUACGGGAGGCAGCAGUGGGGAAUAUUGCACAAUGGGUGGAAGCCUGAUGCAGCAACGCCGUGUGCGGGAUGACGGCCUUCGGGUUGUAAACCGCUUUCGCUCAUGACGAAGCUUUGUGUGACGGUAGUGGGUAAAGAAGCACCGGCUAACUACGUG
rnacentral:rRNA from 1 species